rnacentral:rRNA from 1 species
UACGGAGGGUGCAAGCGUUAUCCGGAUUCACUGGGUUUAAAGGGUGCGUAGGUGGGUUUGUAAGUCAGUGGUGAAAUCUCCGUGCUUAACAUGGAAACUGCCAUUGAUACUAUAGAUCUUGAAUUUUCCGGAGGUCAGCGGAAUAUGUCAUGUAGCGGUGAAAUGCUUAGAUAUGACAUAGAACACCGAUUGCGAAGGCAGCUCACUACGCGAAUAUUGACACUGAGGCACGAAAGCGUGGGGAUCAAACAGG